AGUGAACGCUGGCGGUAGGCCUAACACAUGCAAGUCGAACGGACGCACAGUAAGAGCUUGCUCUUACGGGUGGCGAGUGGCGGACGGGUGAGGAAUACAUAGGAAUCUACUUUUUCGUGGGGGAUAACGUAGGGACACUUACGCUAAUACCGCAUACGACCUACGGGUGAAAGCAGGGGAUAUUCGGACCUUGCGCGAUUGAAUGAGCCGAUGUCGGAUUAGCUAGUUGGCGGGGUAAAGGCCCACCAAGGCGACGAUCCGUAGCUGGUCUGAGAGGAUGAUCAGCCACACUGGAACUGAGGCACGGUCCAGACUCCUACGGGAGGCAGCAGUGGGGAAUAUUGGACAAUGGGCGCAAGCCUGAUCCAGCCAUACCGCGUGGGUGAAGAAGGCCUUCGGGUUGUAAAGCCCUUUUGUUGGGAAAGAAAAGCAGCAGGUUAAUACCCCGCUGUUCUGACGGUACCCAAAGAAUAAGCACCGGCUAACUUCGUG
rnacentral:rRNA from 1 species